AUUGAACGCUGGCGGGAGGCUUUACACAUGCAAGUCGAGCGAGAGGCGGGCGGGUGAGUAAUGACCGGGCAACGGACCGGUGGAGGGGGACAACUAAGGGAAACGGUUGCUAAUACCACAUAGCGUCAGAUGUGCCGAGAUGGGUUUAGCUAGUGGGUGGGGUAAAGGCUCACCUAGGCGACGAUCCGUAGCUGGUCUGAGAGGAUGACCAGCCACACUGGAACUGAGACAUGGUCCAGACUCCUACGGGAGGCAGCAGUGGGGAAUAUUGCACAAUGGGCGCAAGCCUGAUGCAGCCAUGCCGCGUGUGUGAAGAAGGCCUUCGGGUUGUAAAGCACUUUCAGCGGGGAGGCGUUACUCGCAGAAUAAGCACCGGCUAACUCCGUGCCAGCCGCCGCGGUAAUAC
rnacentral:rRNA from 1 species